rnacentral:lncRNA from 1 species
UAAUGUUCCCAUUUCAAAAUGAAUACGAACGUCAAGCGUCAACAAACUUAUGGUAAUCUCGUAAUUUCGCGCUCAAUUUGAUGUCAAAACCAAGUCAACUCCAUAAACUUUCUUCUCCAGGCUCAUAUGCUCUUUCCAUCCUUCCAUCUCUGUCUCUCCCUGUGCACCUGUCAUCGAAAGAGAGUAAAAGAGAGGGAAAUUUUUUUUUUUAAUUCCAAAAUAAGAACAAAAAUGGAGUCGUUUGAAUCCAACUUGAUCAAAGAUGCUCACCAAAUCGACAAUCCUCACAUCACCAAUAACGCAGAUCACGGCUGGCAAAAGGUCACCUACGCCAAGCGCCAGAGGAAGCAGAAGCAGGUGGACUCUGCUU